CAUCAUCGUCAUCAUUACCAUCACCAUCAUCAUCACCAUCAACAUCAUCUAAUCCAGCAGCUUCCACUGUGAUCUCGGUGUCUGUAAUUCUGCUGCUGCUUCUGAUUGGAAUCAUAUUCCUCACUUUCACUCUUCAAAAGAGACGCAGGAUGCACGGUACAUAAACUCAAACACAUGAUAAAAUGCUUAAUAUAAACAUGUAUCUUGUAAUGCAGAUGCAAAUGCAACUAAAACAGCAUUUAUUAAAUCCAUACAGAGAAAUCUAAAUAAUAAAAAAAAACCUUAUUGUCAACACAGAUCCAGUUCAUGUAAGAUAGUUAAUGUAACACGGUCCUACUAGUGUGUAGCACUCUUAUAACCAACCCUAGGUCACUGCAUAAAACACUCGUGGAACCACGCCAACCACUGGGGAUUCUUAUGGACCAGAAUCAGAAGAUAAGGGUCGUCUCACAGAAGCAAAGGUACGAAGUGAUGGAAUGGCUCGCCAGUCCCGGCCGGAAUACGAAUAUUCAGCAAGGACAGGAUUCAGGAACAAUUUUCACAAAAAAAUAAAAACCCAGCCAAGGAGAAGAAUAAAUCAGGAAAAAAAAUGAAGUUGUUUUUUUCCCAGAAAAGAUUUAUAUUGUAUUGCGUCAGUCUCAUCAAUUCCCGUUCAAACGAGCACACAAUACUGUUAAUUUGUGCAAUCGCGGUUUCUCUCGGUCAAGUUCACUCUCAUUCUACCUGCUUGUCUGCUAACGUUCGGCAAGGGGCGGGACUAACCUUUCACCUCGCCAAUGAGCAAUCGGCUCAAAAAAUUUAAAUUUAAAUUUAUAAAGAAAUUUUCCUGCAUUUUUCUUCUUUCUUUUUCUAUAUAUUUAUACAUUUUAUAAAAAUAAUAAUUAUAUAAAAUGGCAAUAAAAUGCUAGUGACCUAGGUUAAUGACCUGGGUUACAUUAAGUACAACACAUACUUAUUAAUUAUUUCCAGCACCUUUUGCUACAGCAGUUUUACCUUGUCUUUUGGGAGUCUAUCAGUUUAGCACUGACUUUUGGACCAGUUUUGUUAAGCAAACGUGUCCUACUGUAGAUCUGUUAUAUUGUGAGAUAAUCUCCUGCCACAGACACCAAAAAUACUUUCUAUUGAUUACUAUUCUAUUAGUCGCGUUCAGUUUU